CAAUUUCGUUAUUGAUUUCGCGUUCUAAAUGUUUUUGUUAGAUCGUCAUUGAACAGUAGAUGUUUAGUUGAUAUAAUCCAUGCUGGUCAUCACUUCAAAUAUAAAGGGACAUUUUUGACGCUCGUAAACAUGUUUAAACCCGCUACAUUCUAUUUAUGCAUGUUCAGAGAUAAUGAACGUCAUACUAAACUCAAAAUUGUACACAAAAAACUAAAAUUAAAAAUAAUACAAGACAAACAAAGACCAAAGGCUCCUGACUUGGGAUAGGCGCAAAAUACGGCGGGGUUAAACAUGUUUACGAGAUCUCAACCCUCCCCCUAUACCUCUAGCCAAUGUAGAAAAGUAAACGAAUAACAAUACGUAUACAAAUUAAAAUUCAGUUCAAGAGAAGUCCGAGUCUGAUAAAUAAAGGCAACAGUAGUCUAC
rnacentral:lncRNA from 1 species